UACAGAGGGUGCGAGCGUUAAUCGGAAUUAUUGGGCGUAAAGGGUGCGUAGGUGGUUUAGUAAGCUUACUGUGAAAGACCCGGGCUUAACCUGGGGCUGUCAGUGAGGACUGCUAAGCUUGAGUACAGGAGAGGGAAGUGGAAUUUCCGGUGUAGCGGUGAAAUGCGUAGAUAUCGGGAGGAACACCAGAGGCGAAGGCGGCGACCUGGACAGGUACUGACACUCAACUACGAAAGCGUGGGGAGCAAACAGG
rnacentral:rRNA from 1 species